CCUACGGGAGGCAGCAGUGGGGAAUAUUGGGCAAUGGAGGCAACUCUGACCCAGCAAUGCCGCGUGAGUGAUGAAGGUCAUUUUAUUGUAAAGCUCUUUUCUUUGGAACGAAUAACUGACUGUACCAAAGGAAUAAGCCCCGGCUAACUACGUGCCGGCAGCCGCGGUAAUACGUAGGGGGCAAGCGUUGUUCGGAAUGACUGGGCGUAAGGGUUGGGUGGUGGUUUGAUAAGUUAGGUUUGUAAUUCCCAGGGCUUAACUCGGGUGCUUCAUCUAAAACUGUUAGACUUGAGUACAGGAGAGGAGAGUGGAAUUCCUAGUGUAGCGGUGGAAUGCGUAGAUAUUAGGAGGAACAUCAGUGGCGAAGGCGACUAUCUGGACAGCAACUGACACUGAGGCACGAAAGCGUGGGGAGCAAACAGGAUUAGAUACCCCUGUAGUC
rnacentral:rRNA from 1 species